UUUCCCCCGGGGGGCCCCGGGCCCGUCCCGCCGCCCCCGCCCGCCUACGGGAGGCAGCAGUGGGGAAUAUUGCGCAAUGGGCGAAAGCCUGAUGCAGCGACGCCGCGUGAGGGACGAAGGCCUUCGGGUUGUAAACCUCUUUCAGCAGGGACGAAGCGAAAGUGAGUCGA
rnacentral:rRNA from 1 species